CAUCUGGAAACAUGAUGUCCACCCUGGAAUGUGUGGCUGCACUGAACAACUGAAGACUGCAGGGGAUGGGGGCACACAUGCUGGUUUGGCUGUUUUGCGAAAACCUAACCAAGAGUAGUCAGGACAGAACAGCCGGGACUUGGAUUUGGACUGGAACUUAACACCUAUUAGUUCUCCUGGUUCUCAGGCCACUGCACUCAUACUGGAACUAUAUUAUUGGCUUUUCUUGAUCUCCAGCUCGCCUACCACAGAUCUUGGAAUUUCCUAGUCAUCAUAACCAUAAUCCCUGCAAUGCUCCUGCAAUUUCAUCAAACGCCAACCCCUCUUCACAGCCAAUGGCAUCCCAGGGGCCUAGUCUGGGCAUGGAGA